rnacentral:rRNA from 1 species
UAGUCCACGCCGUAAACGAUGAUAACUGGUUGUGCGCGAUACACAGUGCGCGACUGAGGGAAACCAUUAAGUUAUCCACCUGGGGAGUACGUUGGCAACAAUGAAACUCAAAGGAAUUGACGGGGGCCCGCACAAGCGGAGGAACAUGUGGUUUAAUUCGAUGAUACGCGAGGAACCUUACCUGGGCUUAAAUGUAGAGUGCGUGAGAUGGAAACAUUUCUUUUCUUCGGAACUCUUUACAAGGUGCUGCAUGGUUGUCGUCAGCUCGUGCCGUGAGGUGUCGGGUUAAGUCCCAUAACGAGCGCAACCCCUAUUGUUAGUUGCUAGCAGGUAAUGCUGAGGACUCUAACGAAACUGCCGGUGUAAACCGAGAGGAAGGUGGGGAUGACGUCAAAUCAUUACGGCCCUUACGUCCUGGGGCUACACACGUGCUACAAUGGGUAUGGGACAGAGAGCAGCCACUGCGUGAGCAGGGAGC